CCCCUUGAGCUGACAGCUUGAUAUAAAUGUAGCAGAGCAAUGAAUGGAGAGAUCUCUGGAUCCAUGUGAGGUACUGGGCUGGUUCUAGCUUUGUUACAAAAAGAUUGUCAUGUUUUUUAUGAUUGACUUUCUUUAGUAAUGAGAUUACCCCG